AAAAACUGAGGUGGUGUAAGAUGGACCCGCGUCUGAUUAGCUAGUUGGUGAGGUAACGGCCCACCAAGGCGACGAUCAGUAGCCGGCCUGAGAGGGUGAACGGCCACAUUGGGACUGAGACACGGCCCAAACUCCUACGGGAGGCAGCAGUGGGGGAUAUUGGACAAUGGGGGGAACCCUGAUCCAGCGACGCCGCGUGAGUGAAGAAGUAUCUCGGUAUGUAAAGCUCUAUCAGCAGGGAAGAAGAAAUGACGGUACCUGAGUAAGAAGCCCCGGCUAACUACGUGCCAGCAGCCGCGGUAAUACGUAGGGGGCAAGCGUUAUCCGGAAUUACUGGGUGUAAAGGGAGCGUAGACGGUGAUGUAAGUCUGGAGUGAAAGGCGGGGGCCCAACCCCCGGACUGCUCUGGAAACUAUGUGACUGGAGUGCAGGAGAGGUGAGCGGAAUUCCUAGUGUAGCGGUGAAAUGCGUAGAUAUUAGGAGGAACACCAGUGGCGAAGGCGGCUCACUGGACUGUAACUGACGUUGAGGCUCGAAAGCGUGGGGAGCAAACAGGAUUAGAUACCCUGGUAGUCCACGCCGUAAACGAUGAUCACUAGGUGUGGGUGGGUAUGGACCCAUCG
rnacentral:rRNA from 1 species